rnacentral:rRNA from 1 species
UUGUGAGGCAUCUCCGGGUAGGGCGCCGGCCUAAGUUCCUUGGAACAGGACGUCACAGAGGGUGAGAAUCCCGUGCUUGGCUGGCUGUCCCCGUCCAUGUGAGGUGUCUUCGACGAGUCGAGUUGUUUGGGAAUGCAGCUCAAAAUGGGUGGUAAAUUUCAUCUAAAGCUAAAUAUUGGUGGGAGACCGAUAGCGCACAAGUAGAGUGAUCGAAAGAUGAAAAGCACUUUGAAAAUAGAGUUAAAAAGUACGUGAAAUUGUUGAAAGGGAAGCGCUUGAGAUCAGACUUCGGUAAGGGGUGAUCAGCCGUCCUUCUGGGCGGUGCACUUGCCCCCCUCCGGGCCAGCAUCGGUUGAGGCGGCGGGAUAAAGGUCCCGGGAAUGUGGCUCCUUCACGGGAGUGUUAUAGCCCGGGUGAAUGCCGCCAGCUUCGACCGAGGACCGCACCYGCAAGGGUUAGGAUGCUUGGCAUAAUGGUCUUCAGCGAC